GGUGUGUUGUGGUGGUAGACCUGUUGCAUUUGGGAUUUCACUGAGAGAAUAAGAAGGAAUCGACGAUGGACUGCUACGCAACUAUUGCACCAGUGAAGGAUGUCUGUGUGCCGGUUUGUGCACAAUUUCUCAGCCAGCGGGCCUGAGAAACUGUGCCACAGCAGUCUGUGUAGUGGUGCUCUUUGUUCUGGAAGGACGCAAGCAUUGCUGAGAAGCCAUUUGACCUGCCGCCACACUAAUAUUGUAUUUGGUAAGGUCUAUUACAGAUCUUAUUUCGUGUAGUACGUGCUAUAAUUGUGUACAAUGUGUUCAAAACUUCAGUAAGUGGGCUGUUCGACAACAGGUGUUUACAAAUUAAUAAUUAUAAAAGAUGUUCAAGGUCAUUAGUGAUACAA